rnacentral:rRNA from 1 species
CCUGGUUGAUCCUGCCAGUAGUCAUAUGCUUGUCUAAAAGAUUAAGCCAUGCAUGUAUAAGCUAAAGCUGAUAAAUAGUGAAGCCGCGGACAGCUCAUUAAUACACUCAUAAUCUUCGCAAUGCAUCCAAUAUGGAUAUCUGUGCUAAUUUUAGAGCUAAUACACGCAAUCAAGCCCCUUAAUUGGGGAGCAUUUAUUAGAACAAAACCGAUCGGGGUCUCCCCGCUGUUGGUGAAUCUGAAUAACUGUGCAGAUCGCAGGUCUUUGUACCGGCGACACAUUGCAAGAGUGAGUGCCUUAUCAACUGUCGAUGGUAGUAUAUAUGCCUACCAUGGUUAUUACGGGUAACGGAGAAUUAGGGUUUGACUCCGGAGAGGCAGCCUGAGAGACGGCUACCAGUUCUAAGGAACGCAGCAGGCGCGCAAAUUACACAAUGACAGUAAACUGUUGAUGUAGUGACAAGAGGUAACGGGGCGGUCCUCUAUGAGGCCCGUCAUUGUAUUGAGUAAAACUCAAAAUAUUUAACGAAACCAAUUGGAGGGCAAGUCUGGUGCCAGCAGCCGCGGUAAUUCCAGCUCCAAAAGCAUAUAUUAAAGUUGUUGCGGUUAAAAAGCUCGUAGUUGGAUCCAUGACCUCGGAGGGCGGUCCCCCACUGGGUGCGUACUGCUGCUCCGAGUCCUAUCUGUCAGUUUGUCUGUGUUGCCUUUAAUCGGGUGGCACAGGUGACUGACGUGUUUACUUUGAAAAAAUUAGAGUGUUUAAAGCAGGCGUUGAAUGCCUGAAUAGUGGUGCAUGGAAUAAUGGAAUAGGAUCUCGGUUCUAUUUUGUUGGUUCAAGAGCAUGAGAAAAUGAUUAAGAGGGACAGACGGGGGCAUUUGUAUUGCUGCGUUAGAGGUGAAAUUCUUGGAUCGUAGCAAGACAAACUACUGCGAAGGCAUUUGCCAAGAAUGUUUUCAUUAAUCAAGAACGAAAGUUAGAGGUUCGAAGGCGAUCAGAUACCGCCCUAGUUCUAACCGUAAACCAUGUCGACUAGCUAUCUGUCAGCGUUAAUAAUGACCCGACAGGCAGCUUACCGGAAACGAAAGUUUCUCGAUUCCGGGGGUAGUAUGGUUGCAAAGCUGAAACUUAAAGGAAUUGACGGAAGGGCACCACCAGGAGUGGAGCCUGCGGCUUAAUUUGACCCAACACGGGAAAGCUCACCCGGCCCGGACACCGUAAGGAUUGACAGAUUAAUAGCUCUUUCUCGAUUUGGUGAUUGGUGGUGCAUGGCCGUUCUUAGUUGGUGGAGCGAUUUGUCUGGUUAAUUCCGAUAACGAACGAGAUUCUAACUUACUAACUAGUUCCACGAUCC